rnacentral:rRNA from 1 species
UUGAUCCUGCCGGACCCGACUGCUAUCAGAGUGGGACUAAGCCAUGCGAGUCAACAUAGCAAUAUGUGGCAUACGGCUCAGUAACACGUAGUCAACAUGCCCAGGGGACGUGGAUAACCUCGGGAAACUGAGGAUAAACCGCGAUAGGUCAUCACUUCUGGAAUGGGUAAUGACUUAAAUCUACAUGGCCCCUGGAUUGGACUGCGGCCGAUCAGGCUGUUGGUGAGGUAAUGGCCCACCAAACCUGUAACCGGUACGGGCUCUGAGAGGAGGAGCCCGGAGAUGGGCACUGAGACAAGGGCCCAGGCCCUAUGGGGCGCAGCAGGCGCGAAACCUCUGCAAUAGGCGAAAGCUUGACAGGGUUACUCUGAGUGAUUUCCGUUAAGGAGAUCUUUUGGCACCUCUAAAAAUGGUGCAGAAUAAGGGGUGGGCAAGUCUGGUGUCAGCCGCCGCGGUAAUACCAGCACCCCGAGUGGUCGGGACGUUUAUUGGGCCUAAAGCAUCCGUAGCCGGUUCUACAAGUCUUCCGUUAAAUCCACCUGCUUAACAGAUGGGCUGCGGAAGAUACUAUAGAGCUAGGAGGCGGGAGAGGCAAGCGGUACUCGAUGGGUAGGGGUAAAAUCCGUUGAUCCAUUGAAGACCACCAGUGGCGAAGGCGGCUUGCCAGAACGCGCUCGACGGUGAGGGAUGAAAGCUGGGGGAGCAAACCGGAUUAGAUACC